GACGAACGCUGGCGGCGUGCUUAACACAUGCAAGUCGAGCGGUAAGGCCCCUUCGGGGGUACACGAGCGGCGAACGGGUGAGUAACACGUGAGCAAUCUGCCCUCCACAUCGGGAUAACCCCGGGAAACCGGGGCUAAUACCGGAUACUCACGUCUGCAGGCAUCUGCGGACGUGGAAAGUUCCGGCGGUGGAGGGAUGAGCUCGCGGCCUAUCAGCUUGUUGGUGGGGUAACGGCCCACCAAGGCGACGACGGGUAGCCGGCCUGAGAGGGUGACCGGCCACACUGGGACUGAGACACUGCCCAGACUCCUACGGGAGGCAGCAGUGGGGAAUAUUGGACAAUGGGCGAAAGCCUGAUCCAGCAACGCCGCGUGAGGGAUGACGGCCUUCGGGUUGUAAACCUCUUUCAGCAGGGACGAAGCGCAAGUGACGGUACCUGCAGAAGAAGCACCGGCCAACUACGUGCCAGCAGCCGCGGUAAGAC
rnacentral:rRNA from 1 species